ACUUUAUUGUAGAAACAGAAGACCAUUUUCUUUCUUUGCUUUUGGUUGCCAAGGCUUCCUCAUUCCCCUAAGGUAGUUGCAUAAUCUGCAUCAUGUCCAGCACUGUGCUGGGCACGUAGCAUGAGUUCAGUGGACUUUUUUUCCAUUGAAAAACAUUUGCUGGAUUGAAUCAGGAGAUGCUCAUGAGCACUGAGCUAUUGGCUUCCUUAGUCGUGCUUCAGCUGGGGAGGGAAAUGAGUGUUAACACCCACACACAUUACAAAGAGUGACUAGGGAAAAGUAAAAUCAGCUGAAAUUGGGGAUGGGGGUGGGGUGACAGUAACAGAUUGUCUCCCACUCACUAGGCAUCUUUUUGGAGAUUUCUUCAUGCAAACAUUGGUUUUCUACUAAAGAUGCUAGCAAGUCUGGUGACAAUUUCGUUGUGGAAAGGGGCUUUGGUGGUCAUAAUGUACUUUUCAAUUAUUUUUGCAAAAUCUUGGGUUUUUCUGAAUAUUGCAUGAGGCCAUUCUAACUUGAUGGAACCACAGGAAGGAGAUUUUAUCCAAAGACUUUCGGGACUGGGGAAUCGUUGGCCAGCUGUGCCUCUGAACCUCUGCUUUUCACUCUCACCUGCUUUGAGAAAUUUGAUCAACUCCAACAGGGACAUGAAAUAUUCAUUCACUGCUCCUAGAGAUUGUUGUCCUGUGACUGCCCAGGGUUAAACUAGGAAAUAUUCCUCACAUUGAUUGUACCUCAAUAGCAUUUGUCCAAAACAUUUCUUGGCAAAAUCAGAGUAAAGUAUUUUUAAAAAUAUUUAAUUAAAAAGUCAACAUAGAACUUUGGUAAUAAAUUAAUUUCAAGGAAAAAAAAACUGUAUCA
rnacentral:lncRNA from 1 species